UACAGAGGGUGCGAGCGUUAAUCGGAAUUACUGGGCGUAAAGGGCGCGUAGGUGGUUAGAUAAGUUGGAUGUGAAAUCCCUGGGCUUAACCUAGGAACUGCAUACAAUACUGUUUAACUGGAGUGCAGUAGAGGGUAGUGGAAUUUCCGGUGUAGCGGUGAAAUGCGUAGAUAUCGGAAGGAACACCAGUGGCGAAGGCGGCUACCUGGACAAAUACUGACGCUGAGGCGCGAAAGCGUGGGGAGCAAACAGG
rnacentral:rRNA from 1 species